ensembl:lncRNA C3P1 complement component 3 precursor pseudogene
AGUCAGUGGCCCUGGCCGGCUCAGACAGGACUCUGUUCUCUCCAGCUCUCCCAUGAGAAGAACACGGUGCUGGGCUUUCGGGUUCACAGGAUGCUGCAGGCGGAGUUCCUGCAGGCCGCCCUGGUCACCAUCUACGACUACUACGAGCCUUGACAGUGCCCAUCCCUGCAGAAGCCCAGUGGCCAAUUGAGGCAGGAGGAGCUCCAGACAACAGCAUGUGAGGCAGGCGUGGAUUUUGUGUACAAGACAAAGCUGGAAUCUGUGGAGGUCUCUGCCUCCAACCCUUACGUCUAUUACAACACGCAGCUCGAAGACAUCAUUAAGAGUGGUACGGACCCUGCCACACCCCUGGCCAUGAAGAAAUUCGUCUCCCAUGCCACUUGCCAUGACUCCCUGGGGUUGCAAGAACAGGAAUCGUACCUCAUCAUGGGCCAGACGUCAGACCUGUGGAGAAUCAAAUCUGAUUACAGCUAUGUUCUGGGCAAGGAGACGUUCCUCAUCCUUUGGCCAGCAGAUGGAGAUGCCAGCAAGAAAGAAUUGCGGGACCAACUGGAGGAAUUUUUGGAAUAUAUGCGCACCCACGGCUGCCAGUCCUGAGCCUCUUCUGCUUUCAGGGAGGUGUCAUCAGGCAGCUCUGGGCCACUGGGUUUAACCCCAAAUAAAGAGCACAGGAUAUGACACCCAAACCCUGGA